rnacentral:rRNA from 1 species
AUUGAACGCUGGCGGCAGGCCUAACACAUGCAAGUCGAGCGGAUGAAGGGAGCUUGCUCCUGGAUUCAGCGGCGGACGGGUGAGUAAUGCCUAGGAAUCUGCCUGGUAGUGGGGGAUAACGUCCGGAAACGGGCGCUAAUACCGCAUACGUCCUGAGGGAGAAAGUGGGGGAUCUUCGGACCUCACGCUAUCAGAUGAGCCUAGGUCGGAUUAGCUAGUUGGUGGGGUAAAGGCCUACCAAGGCGACGAUCCGUAACUGGUCUGAGAGGAUGAUCAGUCACACUAGAACUGAGACACGGUCCAGACUCCUACGGGAGGCAGCAGUGGGGAAUAUUGGACAAUGGGCGAAAGCCUGAUCCAGCCAUGCCGCGUGUGUGAAGAAGGUCUUCGGAUCGGAAAGCACGUUAAGUUGGGAGGAAGGGCAGUAAGUUAAUACCUUGCUGUUUUGACGUUACCAACAGAAUAAGCACCGGCUAACUUCGUG